ACACAUGCAGUCGAGCGGAUGAGUGGAGCUUGCUCCAUGAUUCAGCGGCGGACGGGUGAGUAAUGCCUAGGAAUCUGCCUGGUAGUGGGGGACAACGUUUCGAAAGGAACGCUAAUACCGCAUACGUCCUACGGGAGAAAGUGGGGGAUCUUCGGACCUCACGCUAUCAGAUGAGCCUAGGUCGGAUUAGCUAGUUGGUGAGGUAAAGGCUCACCAAGGCGACGAUCCGUAACUGGUCUGAGAGGAUGAUCAGUCACACUGGAACUGAGACACGGUCCAGACUCCUACGGGAGGCAGCAGUGGGGAAUAUUGGACAAUGGGCGAAAGCCUGAUCCAGCCAUGCCGCGUGUGUGAAGAAGGUCUUCGGAUUGUAAAGCACUUUAAGUUGGGAGGAAGGGCAGUAAGUUAAUACCUUGCUGUUUUGACGUUACCAACAGAAUAAGCACCGGCUAACUUCGUGCCAGCAGCCGCGGUAAUACGAAGGGUGCAAGCGUUAAUCGGAAUUACUGGGCGUAAAGCGCGCGUAGGUGGUUCGUUAAGUUGGAUGUGAAAGCCCCGGGCUCAACCUGGGAACUGCAUCCAAAACUGGCGAGCUAGAGUAUGGCAGAGGGUGGUGGAAUUUCCUGUGUAGCGGUGAAAUGCGUAGAUAUAGGAAGGAACACCAGUGGCGAAGGCGACCACCUGGGCUAAUACUGACACUGAGGUGCGAAAGCGUGGGGAGCAAACAGGAUUAGAUACCC
rnacentral:rRNA from 1 species